GCGCAACCUGCCCGGGUCUACUUCCACACCGUAGAAGUUUUGUUCUUUUGCUCUUCACAACAAAUCUUAACUGCUGCUCACUCUUUGGGUCCACACCACCUUUAAGAGCUGUAACACUCACUGCAAGGGUCUGUGGCUUCAUUCUUGAAGUCAGCGAGACCACGAACCCACUGGAAGGAGCCAACUCCGGACACAGAGGGGAUGUCUUUCCCCCCUUAACCCUCAUAUCAUGUAGGAGAAAUUUGCAAUGAGGCAUGGCCCUAACACACUGAGGAUAAUUGUGACCAAUGGGAAAAUUUCCAGAAACUUUGUAAGAGGCCAAGUCUGUAGAAGAUAACGGGGAAGUCGAUUGCCUCAGAAAUUGGAGUGAGCUAACACAGAUAAGUCAUGUCUCAUUUUUUCAUUCUUUUAAAAUUUUGAUAAUUUAAGUGAAACAUGCCUACUUUUAAAAUUUUUGUUGUGCCUUCCUCCUGCUUGGUCCACAGUCUUUAUCUGAAAGAUCUUUAUUAGGUUAGAUGAGAGUUAUUAAUAAAUCCCCUACUGAAAUUUUUGCUUCAGAUAAAUAGAAACUAAUUUUAAUGGAUGGAAAAAAUGAGAAACUCCAUUUCAGUGAAUUAUAGGCUUUUAGAUGGCAUGGCAGAGCUGACCCUAGCAACCCAGCGGCAAAUAGACUUUAUGGUGGGAAGAAAGUUGUGCCACAAGGCUCCUUAAUAGGAUAGAAACUUCCCAAGGAGUGAGAGAUUUCAGGAAGGAGAAAGCGGAGAACAAUUGCUAGGAACUGAAGAUGGGAAAGAUAUCACAGCAGAUAAAGAGAUUUCCUCUUGACAUUACCUAGCAAUUGACAUUUGGUUGUGCAGGUUGUACACUGAGCAAAUUUAGAAGGCAUUGUUUAGAUGUGAAUUGUGUCUCCUAGAGGUCUGUACUACACAGUCUGUUGUAUCUCUUCAUCUCAUUUCACUGAUCUUAACAUGGUAAUCAUGGGGAUGCUGUGAGGACUAUGAAAAGUGAUUUUGCCACAUGCAGUGCCUACCUGGCAGGCAUCAGACAUGAGAGUGUGUGCCUGGCAACAGUGAGGAGGCUCAGUAGCUUGGAGUUCGUCAGGUUUAUGUGCACCAGGGACCCAAACCCUCUGGUAGUAAAAAAGGGGGAAAAGACAAGGAGAAUUGCUGGGGUGACUAUCUUUGUUUAUGGUGAUCAUGGCUAUUGUAAAUAGCAAUUCUUCCCCAUGUCAGUGGCUUCAUACAAUAUGAUUUCUUUGUCAGUCACAUAAGUUUGAAGUAGACUUUUCUCCAAGGUGGUGUCCUUCCAGAAGUCUGUCAGAGGCCCUGGUGCUUUCCAGCAUGUGGCUCUCACUUCUUCAGCAGGUGCCAGGGCUGCUGCAGGAGAAAGGGCAUGGAGGAUUGUUCCUGAACAAUCUGAACACCUGACCUCAAGUGAUACACCCGUCUUAGCCUCCCAAAAUGCUGGGAUGACAAGCAUGAGCCACCACGCCUGGCCCUCUUACUCUUUUUUAAAACCACACUGGGGAUAUAGAAACGUGUGACAUCUUUCAACUGUCUUUACCACAUUUGCAAAGUUUUUUCACCUUUUGUUUAGUUCUGUUUACUAACAGAUACAAAGUCUGAAAUUCUGUUGACCAUGUCUGCCUAGGACUGACAUCACGUUUCUUAAGUUCUAUUAGUCUAAUCACUGUCAUAUGGCCACAGCCAACUUCAAGGGAAGAAGAGAGAGGCAGACUGGCUGUCUGUCCAGGAGGAAGAGGAAAUUAACCUCUUGCGUAAUUUUGCCAACACCACCUGGAUGUCUUCUUUUAUGCUGGUACAACAAUAUAGCAGCAUCAUCCUUGAUGUGAGCCUUCUGGAUUCAGAAGCCAGACUGCAUCCAUACGGGAUGUUUCCUUUCUCUCCAAAGACUAGAAUAAAAGUAGUGACAGAGGUGGAAAGAUCACACACAUAAGGACACACGAUUUAAACCUAAGUGGAAAAUAUACUUAAGAAAUUAAAUUAUAGUAUUGUAUUUAUUUUUGAAUGUUUACUGUCUCAUAUAAUUUAUAAUUUGUCCUACUUAUUUAAUGGGAAAACAUCAUCUGUUUCAAAGAGUUUGGACAAAUAUUGAUUUAUUAAUCUAAAAGGAAGGAUUCAAUUGUAUUGGCUUUCCUGAUUCCUGAUCCAACUGGAAUCUAUAGGAAACAUCCAUUUGAUUCUCUCUCUCUCUCUGCUCCUAUUCUUUUUUUAAUUUUUAUUUUAUUUUUAGUUUUUGAGACAGACUCUUGUUCUGUUUCCAAGCUGGAGUGCAGUGGCAUGAUCUCAGCUCACUGCAACCUCUGCCUCCUGGGUUCAAGUGAUUCUCAUGCCUCAGCCUCCCAAGUAGCUAGGAUUACAGGCACACGCCACUGCACCUGGCUAAUUUUUGUGUUUUUAGUAGAGACAGGGUUUUGCUGUGUUGGCCAGGCUGGUCUCCAACACCUGACGUCAAGUGAUGCAUCCACCCUGGCCAAAGUGCUGGGAUGACAAGCAUGAGCCACCGCACCUGGCCCUCUUAGUCUAUUUUGAAACCACACUAGAGAUAGAGAAACAUGUGACAUCUUUCAACUGUCUUCACCACAUUUGCAAAUUUUUUUCAUCUUUUGUUUAGCUUUGUUUACUAACAGCUCUAAAGUCUGAAAUUCUUUUCUGUUUCACUGCACUCACCACAUUAAGCUUAAUACUCUGAAAAUACACACAGCUUUAUGGAAAUGUAUCUGACACCUCUGUGUUCUCCCCACACUUCAUUUACCUCUUUCUUUUGAAACUCUAGCAAAGAAACCCUUGCUAGGAAGUAGGAACCUGGGAUGUUUAGCCAGAGGGUCUUUUAAUUUUCUUCCCUUCCUUUUUCUUUCCUUCCCUUCCUUUUCUUCCUUUCUUCCCCCUCUUGUGCAUCCCCCUUUUUUUUCUCUCUCUUUUAGGGAAAAAGUAGACAGUGAUUUUUUUUCCUUUUUUUUUUUUUUUUUUGGCCUGAGAUAGAGUCUUGCUCUUGUCACCCAGGCUGGAGUGCAAUGGUGCGAUCUCCACUCACUGCAACCUCUGCCUCCUGGGUUCAAGUGAUUCUCCUGCCCCAGCCUCCCGAGUAGCUGGGAUUAUCUGCACCCGCCACCACACCAGGCUAAUUUUUUUGUAUUUUUAGCAGAGAUGGGGUUUUACCACGUUGGUCAGACUGGUCUCAAACUCCUGACCUCAGGUGAUCCACCCACUGUGGCCUCCCAAAGUGCUGGGAUUACAGGCAUGAGCCACUGUGCCCUGCCAACAGUGAUCUUUUAACUUGAGCACUGGGGAGCCUGGAUUUCUUGUUCAUGGGCUCUCACUGAUGAAUAUUAUUUGUGCUUUUAUUUAUGGUUUUCUUAAGCUUAAGACUGUGAUUUACAUAUCAACUGUGUGGCCAACUGCAUCUGUGCCACUACUUGCAGUUCUUGCAGUGGGCAUUGUGCCUAUGGUAUUGCUGGGGUUUUCUGCACCAUGAUAUGCCUUUGUCUCUGCUUGUCUUGCACAGCUUCUCUGCCAUCGUCAACUUUGAAUGUUUUAUUUAAAUUCCAUGUUUUUCCAUUAUCCUCUGCAGGAGCUUUCUUAAAGAAAUACAAUCGGAUAAAAGUUAAAGAACUUCUUAUUACGCUCCCAGUUAAACAGCUUCCGCACACCUUGGAAAGCUUUGCACCUUAUAGCACUCAGGUGUGUUAUGCUUUUAAUUAAAUGUGGUGUUUGCUGUCAUUUCUGUAAGUCCUCAAGCAGUAGACCCUUGGACCGACACAGAAUCCCAUUAAAGCCUUGCUUCCAUGGGAAAAUCAGAUUAUCCUCACCUCCUUUUGAACUACAAUGCCUUCCCCAGGAAUAUAAUUCAUGGUAAAUAUAAGGUCAUCUUGUACAUUUGGUAAUAGCUGCUCCUUCCUCUUCAGUGGUUAAGGUUAAAAUGCUGGGCUUGGUUCUUGGGGAGUGACUGCCCACGCCUACUGUUGGAAGUUCCUCCAUUAGUCAGGUUUGCCCUGGCCACUCUGAGAAGAUAGUGCUGGAAAAACUGCAGUCUUUCUCAUCUUACCUCCCCGACGUCUGAUCCUAGACUGACCUCUCAGAAAAGUGUUUGACCAACACUGUUCCAGCAGGUUUCCAUCUGCAUAAUAGCCUGGUGAUGUCUGGUAAGCACAAGCUGAGCGCACACCUUCUGGGGACUGAUGAGAUCUAGAAUAACCAAGAGAACGUAGACCUGCAUUUUCACUGAUUCCAUUGAACAGGCAUGGCCCCAACACUCCGCUUCUGUCUGAUACUCAUAAGGCACGCUCCAUUCUGAAGUUAC
rnacentral:lncRNA from 10 species